ensembl:lncRNA
UCUGAUUGGUGAGAAUGUCUUUCCUCACAUUGUUGGUUAGGGUUAGGUUAACCCUAACUCCCUAACCAUAACCCUAACUCCCCCAAACAGCUAGGACUAAUCGAAACGCGAUCUAAAGGAGAGCCCUUCUAACCAAUCAGUGGCGAAAAAGGCGGUACUUGGCCCUACCAUCCUACGAAAAAAGGAUUCUCGUCCGGCAAUCCACCUCCGACACACCAAAACAAUUUCCGGCUUGUUUAAUAUUAUUUUCAAAGUAAAACUUUCCAUUUCCCUUUUAAAAAGGUGGCAUCGGUAAUUACUUUUGAGUAGUUUUAUUUGGUUUAUGUUAUUCAAAAUGCCGGAUGAUUUAAUUACACGAAUAUACAAAUUAUAUUUUAUUUUUUUAUAUAAAAUGUCCAGUUUUCAAAUAGUUAGCAAAAAAAAACAUUCUCAAUAAAGUGAAUUGAAGAAAUUGCAUUUAUUUAACAUUGCAUAAUGCAUGCGAAUGUAACAUUAUCGGCGGAUAUUACUGUUCCAAAUGUUAAUAAUGUCGUUUGUGCAUUAUAGUUUACUUUGAAAGUAAAAUAAGUACUUCCUGUUUUUAUAUUAUGCCCUGAAGCUUUAGAAUGCUACUAAUCUGAUGCUUUUCUAGGGUUUGCUAUCAAUGUGAACCACAUUUCUUGCAUAAAAAUGACCUCUAUGAUGAAUCUCAGAGUGUUUAUGAGUGAACGCCUCUCUUCAGCAGCUAUCGAAAUAUUUGAUGAGGUUGAGAAAGUCAUAACAUUGUACGAGGCUGAAGUUACUCGUUCUAGAGAAGAGGUACGCUAUCUCCAAAAGCAGCUGGAACUUCAUCGACUGAAGGAUCAUCCAGAUAUCAACGGAAUCGUUAUUCGAGAAGACGCUAGCAUCACUCCCCGACUGGUGAACAUGGCCGCAACAAUUAAAAGAGAAGAAGGAUCCACACGAAGCAUGGAUGAUAAAGAAUCUGAACACUCGCAAACGAACGUUGACUCCACAUAUACAAACAAUGCAAUCCAGUUAGAUAUAUCCAAGAUCAAAGAAGAAAGAGAGGUCAUGUGCAUUGACAGUGAAGGGUUGGAUGUUCUCACGACUACUACCACAGUUAACAUCAUGAAUAGAGAUAGAGACCCAGAACAGCCAGACAUGGAGGUCAGGUCUACAUAUGAAAUAGCAGACUUUCUUUCAAUGUGUCCAUCAGCUUUGACCAGUGAUCCACAAGAGGAGUGGAGUAAACAAAGACAGAAAACCAAAGAGUCUGCAUUGGCAGUCCAAAGAGAGAGCAACGGUUUAGGUUUGAAUCAGGAGUUGACACCGCUGCCUCUCGAAAGUGCCUCCACAAGGAAUCAGAACUCCGACCAAAGCUUUUGCCAUUUGUGCGGCAAGCCGUUUCGGUACAUUGGCUCUCUCAUGAAACAUAUAAAAAUGCACGACGACCACACGGUGAUCUGUGGUAUAUGUAAUCGGUCAUGCCACAACAUAAACGACCUGUUAAAUCAUCUGAGGUGCGCUCACAGGGGUUCCUACUUUUGUCACAUUUGUGGCAAAACGUUCUCAAAACAGUGUUUUCUGAUUAUACACUCCAAGCAACAUAAGGGGUUGAGGCAGCUUGCGUGUGAAGACUGGCAUCAAAGUUCUAGCACGGGCGCAUUUUGAAAUUGCAACUCAUGAUGAACAAGACCGGUUUGCUCUGAACUCAAUCAGAAGUUGGUUACCAUUUGAGGUUGUCUUUUAAGAGAUCUCCCUCAAAAUAUACAGUAUAUUUUACACAAAAUGUUAAUAUAUUUUGUAUACAUUUCCAGUUUUUCUUGUAUAGGUGCAUCAUAAGUAUUAUUUUUUAAAUGUAUUGUUCUAAGCACUUGUUUUAUUUAUUGUUCUCUGUGAUGACAAUGUUUUAUUAUGUUUGUCACAUUAGUAAUAUAUAUGUUGUAAGUCUAUCUUUGUUUUUAUUUUUAGUACCAAAGAAGGAAGGAAAUUCCUUCUUAAAGACAAUAAACUUCCAAGAAUCCUCAAAGCCGGGUUGACUAGAUUAUUGUACACAAUGAGCAGAGACAACAUGAUGAGGAGAAAUCCAGCCGUUAUUCUUUGAAGACUUCUACCAGCAUUAAAAUAAUCA